UAGUCCACGCCGUAAGCGAUGGACACUAGUUGUUGGGCAUUAGCUCAGUGACUAAGCGAAAGUGAUAAGUGUCCCACCUGGGGAGUACGAUCGCAAGAUUGAAACUCAAAGGAAUUGACGGGGGCCCGCACAAGCGGUGGAGCAUGUGGUUUAAUUCGAUGAUACGCGAAGAACCUUACCAGGGCUUAAAUGUAGUAUGACAGGUUUAGAGAUAGACUUUUCUUCGGACAUAUUACAAGGUGCUGCAUGGUUGUCGUCAGCUCGUGCCGUGAGGUGUCAGGUUAAGUCCUAUAACGAGCGCAACCCCUAUUUUUAGUUACCAGCGAGUAAUGUCGGGAACUCUAGAAAAACUGCCUGUGCAAACAGAGAGGAAGGUGGGGAUGACGUCAAAUCAUCACGGGCCCUUAUGUCUUGGGGCUACACACGUGCUACAAUGGUUACUACAAUGUGAUGCCAUCUGGUGACAGAGAGCUAAUCAAUAAAGGGUAAUCU
rnacentral:rRNA from 1 species